GAGACGCGCCAUCGCCCGCCAUGGCGGUCCAGUCGCGCUUCGUCUGGGCUAUCGGCAGCGCGGUGGGCAUCCUCGUCGGGGGGCUGCUCCUGUUGCGGAUGUGGCCGUCCGACGAGGAGCGGUCGGCGAGGCUGAGGAAGGACUUCCCGGAACCCGGCCAGUACUAUUCGGAAGCACAACGACAAAAUGCCUUGAUAAUGGAAAUCCUUAAAGAGGCAGCCAUGUCGGAUGAGAAUGUGGCCCGGAAACCCAUCUCUUGGAAAAAGUAGCAACGGUUGUGACUCGAAAGGGGCUUUGAGCUGCUUGAGGCUUUCUGCUCUGACCUGUUCGUCUCCAAAUUUGGGGAGAUCGUUCUCUGCAGACGCUUCCUCAAAGUGGUGCACAGUGUUGGUGACUCCACCGUGAAAACGGCAUUUGAUUUUCUUCUUCGGCCCGUUUAUCCCUCGGUCCCUUCUACGGCUUGCUUGGUCUUUACAGUUGGGCUGCCAUCAUUAUCAUAGAUCCCGUUGAGAAGAAGUAGGGCGGGGAAGGAAUACUUCAU